CACUAAGAAGCUUUCAAUAAGCAAUAGCCUUUUAAGCUAUAGAUCGGUGAUUUAACCCACCCUUAGUGA
rnacentral:tRNA from 1 species